rnacentral:rRNA from 1 species
AGAGUUUGAUCCUGGCUCAGGAUGAACGCUGGCGGCGUGCCUAACACAUGCAAGUCGAGCGAACCCUUCGGGGUGAGCGGCGGACGGGUGAGUAACGCGUGGGUAACCUGCCCUGUACACACGGAUAACAUACCGAAAGGUAUGCUAAUACGAGAUAAUAUAUUUUAAUCGCAUGGUUAAGAUAUCAAAGCUCCGGCGGUACAGGAUGGACCCGCGUCUGAUUAGCUAGUUGGUGAGGUAAUGGCUCACCAAGGCGACGAUCAGUAGCCGACCUGAGAGGGUGAUCGGCCACACUGGAACUGAGACACGGUCCAGACUCCUACGGGAGGCAGCAGUGGGGAAUAUUGCACAAUGGGCGAAAGCCUGAUGCAGCAACGCCGCGUGAGCGAUGAAGGCCUUCGGGUCGUAAAGCUCUGUCCUCAAGGAAGAUAAUGACGGUACUUGAGGAGGAAGCCCCGGCUAACUACGUGCCAGCAGCCGCGGUAAUACGUAGGGGGCUAGCGUUAUCCGGAAUUACUGGGCGUAAAGCGUGCGCAGGCGGUUUUGUAAGACAGGCGUGAAAUCCCCGGGCUCAACCUGGGAACUGCGUUUGUGACUGCAAGGCUAGAGUAUGGCAGAGGGGGGUGGAAUUCCACGUGUAGCAGUGAAAUGCGUAGAGAUGUGGAGGAACACCUAAUGGCGAAGGCAGCCCUCCUGGGCCAAUACUGACGCUCAUGCACGAAAGCGUGGGGAGCAAACAGGAUUAGAUACCCUGGUAGUCCACGCCCUAAACGAUGUCAACUAGGUGUUGGGUGGGUAAAACCAUUUGGUACCGUAGCUAACGCGUGAAGUUGACCGCCUGGGGAGUACGGCCGCAAGGUUAAAACUCAAAGGAAUUGACGGGGACCCGCACAAGCGGUGGAUGAUGUGGAUUAAUUCGAUGCAACGCGAAAAACCUUACCUACCCUUGACAUGCCAGGAACUUGCCAGAGAUGGCUUGGUGCCCGAAAGGGAGCCUGGACACAGGUGCUGCAUGGCUGUCGUCAGCUCGUGUCGUGAGAUGUUGGGUUAAGUCCCGCAACGAGCGCAACCCUUGUCGUUAAUUGCCAUCAUUUAGUUGGGCACUUUAACGAGACUGCCGGUGACAAACCGGAGGAAGGUGGGGAUGACGUCAAGUCCUCAUGGCCCUUAUGGGUAGGGCUUCACACGUCAUACAAUGGUCGGUACAAAGGGUUGCCAAGCCGCGAGGCGGAGCCAAUCCCAGAAAGCCGAUCGUAGUCCGGAUCGCAGGCUGCAACUCGCCUGCGUGAAGUCGGAAUCGCUAGUAAUCGUGGAUCAGCAUGUCACGGUGAAUACGUUCCCGGGUCUUGUACACACCGCCCGUCACACCAUGGGAGCGGGUUCCGCCAGAAGUAGGUAGCCUAACCGCAAGGAGGGCGCUUACCACGGCGGGGUUCGUGACUGGGGUGAAGUCGUAACAAGGUA